UGUAAUGCGAUUUGCAGAACUCGUGAGUCAUCGAAUYUUUGAACGCAAGUUGCGCUCGCGGGAAAUCCUGCGAGCACGUCUGUUUGAGUGUC
rnacentral:rRNA from 1 species